GGAAGUGAUGGCGUCAUUUUGAAAUCCAAUGGCCAAGUUGAUGACAACACAUCACCCUCCCAAACCCCCACGAUGAAAUGGCUUAUAUAGACAGACCAACAAGCCAACUCUUCACUUCACUGAGCAAGUGUGUCUUGCAGUUGUCUUUGGAGGUGAGUAUUUUCAGCUGUAGAAGCCAUGUGUCUGUUGCAGAUAUAUUCAUCUGAUUGGUCUUGUAACCAUGUUUUUGCUCACUGAAGAUGGUGAUUGUUGGGAAAUAACACCUUGAACCAGAUUUUAAAUUUGAGUUUAAAUUUGUAGUUAAAUUUAAGAAUUGUAAGUUUUGGAGUCAAGUUGAGAUUUAAAUGAAGUUCAGUGUUUAACAACUUCUCUUCAAACCCUCUGUGUUUUAAAGGGAGUAAGUAGAAAUGUCUCUCUCUUAAUUAGGGCUGUACUUUUAAAGUCUUUCUUCCUUUCUAGAGAUAUAACAGAGAACAUGGCACGCAAACUCUUUCUAAUCCUCGCGGUGAGUCACUGCUUUCUGCUCAUGAUUCUUAAUCAACAUUAAUUCAUUGUGUCAUUAUAGAGGUAGCUGAUUGCGGUGGUGGGAACCACAUUUUUAAAUUCAUCAUAUAUCAGUGCCCAGUUUAACACAAACUCUGUCAUUCCUACAGCUCUUUCUCCUGGUGGGGAGUCUGACUGCGCAGUUGUCAGAUGAAGAUGGCAUCAUCCUGUCUGAACUGUACAACAGCCCAGCAGAGGAGCUGGGAGCUGCUGAGGCACUGGCGCGCGUCAAGCGUGGCUUUCUCGGCCGGCUCUUUAAAAAAGUAAAGAAAAUCUUUCGUGGUCGUGGUGGUGGUGAGGCUGGUGAUGCUAAGCAGGAAGCCCCGCAAGAGUAACCCCCAUCAUGCAUUCAUUGCCACCCCUGUGAGCCAACAGAGAGGCAUCAAGGCAUCGAGGCAGCUCCACUCUUUCAGAGAGAGAAUCUGAAUGCAACGAAGCUCUCCUGUUUGUAAACAAAUAAAGAUGUUCUGCAGCAUUUACCUCUCUGUGCU
rnacentral:lncRNA from 1 species